CAGUCCUCUUAAUCUCUGAGGAUGAGCCUCGGGAGUCCUAUACAACCGAGCCGCUAUCACAGCCUACGGUUCUUGUGAUCUAAACAAAUCCAAGCUUAGCAGCAGCCACUUCAGGAAUGUACAGCACAACCCACUGAAAUGGAAACAUCAACAAAUGGACCCAGAGACUAGCUUUCGGGUCUAGAAGUCUCCCAAGGACGGCACAUCCAAGAGGCAGGGGAUAAGCCAGAACCUGGCAUCCGUGGCUGGCUGUCUAUCCCAGGGGAUGGAGCUCUUCCUUGAAGAGGGAUCAGCCCAGCACCCUCCCUCUCAGCCAGCUCCCUUCUCAGCACAGUGCUUGGACUGAAGCCCCCAUCCUGCACCAACAGAAGACUUGUUCCAACAUAUGUUUCCAAUCAGCCACCCACUUGCUUGGGUCAGUAAGGAGGCUCAAAUGUUUUGGGAUGUACUCCACCUCUCCCACAGGAAGAAGUUUGCUCCCCGCUGCAGAAAGAGAUGACCCAUCUCCAGGUCCAUCCACCCCACUCCUAGGAGAGCUCCUUGGGGUCAGGGUCUUGGUCUCAGCAUCUUGAUACCAGCCUUGACCCUGGCACAGAGUCCACCAUGGGCACUCAUGUUGAGGCAGACUCAAGGAGAAGGAGGCCCCACUGAAGUCACACUUGGAUGCCAGACUCGCCGCGCAAGGGAGGGCGCUGCGGCUGCCAGGACCAGCCCAGGCACACAGGGGGGCAUUCACAGCCUCGUGGCCACAGCCCCUCCCAUCUGCCCUGUGCACCCCAGCAGCAAACAGAACUCUCUGUCUCCGUGCCGGAGUCAAGCCUGCACAGAAUUAACUGUAAUAAUUGGCAGGUGGGCCGCUGGCUUCUGGGUUUCAAUUCACCAGGGGCUCAUGAAAAGGGAAGAAAAAAAAAAAAGUGAUGUUCUGUUGUAGCCAGUAUUUAGCUGGGGCUCGGAGAAGUUUCAGCUUUCCAUGACAAGAAACAAACUGUGUGGCUGCAGCUGCCCUGGGCAAACAAGGGCUCCAGGACGGCCUUGGAGAGAGAAGCCCUGGCUGGCCAUGAUCACUUUGCUCCUUGGGGAAAGAGGAGGAAAUAGGCCUUGACCUGCUGCCCUUCUCAGAAGCACAGAUAAUGGAGAAGAAAGGAGUCUUUCUGGGAGGUUUUUUCCUUGGAUGGAAGGGAGUGAUCAUCACCCCCCAACAUUUUUCCAUGGCAGGAAGGCCCUCGAAACACUUCACAAGAGUACCUGCAAUAAGGAUGUUUGUCCCAGCCCACAGCUGAGCCACCAUUCACCAGCCUCCACUGUACUUCUGAUCUUUGCCCACUGCAGACAUCACUAAUCAACAGCGCUUAUAUUUUCUCCUGAGCCUUAGAUAUGGACUCAGCAUCCUUCUCAACACUGUACUCGUGAAGCCACUAAAAAUUAAUAGGAGUUGGCAUGAAAGCCAAAAAAUAUUUGCCACAUCUCUUUUAGUAACUCUGAAGAGGCCAAAGUUACAAUCUCACCAAAAUUUCUGCAAAGACAGGAGUGCAGCGAAGUCCUAUGACGGAGCUGUGGCUUUGCUGCCAGUUACAGCCCCAGCUGGGGAUCCUUCGCAUUGCUCUCCAGAGAGUGGGCUCUGAUGAUGACCCUCAGGGAGGGGGACGCUGGGCAGGAUUUCACUGGAGACCCACGUACGGCGGCCCAGGCCUGGGGCAGCCAACGCCAAGGGCAUGUCUUUUCUGUUCAUGGCACCUGCAUCCAGUGCUAGUCCUUCUCCUGGAGCUUUUGCCUCCAAUCAGCUACAGAGGGACAGAGCAGCCGCCAUCCCGAAGUGCUUUCUUGGGGACAGCUGCCCCGUCGGCAGUGACGCUGGCCAUGCGCGUCUCCCUUGCUCUUUCUCAGCAGGAUGGUUUGCUCCCCUUUUCACUGGAAGCUAGUGGAUAGUGCUGGGGUGGGGGGACUGGCUGCCAGGGCUGGGAAACAUUGAAGAAGCGGCUUCCCUUGGGGUCAAGCCCACAUUCUUCCCAGGGGAGAAUGUCCUUAGUUCAGGACCCAGGUGACCCCAACUCUGCUUUCAAGGAUGGCCAUCCUUGGGCGUCCUUCCAGUGGGCUUUGGGACCAGGUCUCCUAGGUUCCUUUCCCCGGUCCUAUUGUUAAGCACAUGAGAGAUCAAAGCCUGAAGCACCUACAAUGGUGCCUCGUUCUUCUCAGCCUGAGGCUGGGAGGAGCUGCCUCCGCCAUCGCAAGUUGCAAGUCGAGUGCUGUGUCUUGGGCACUGGCCUACUUCUCCAAAAAGGAGGGAGACCUGGGCAGCCCCUCCCUCUCCCCCACCUCAAGGUGUGGUGGCAGGGCCACUGCUUGGGGUCUCAGAUGGCCACUUCAGCUCUCUGAAUCGGCUUUCUCCCCUGCAAAAUGGGAAUAAUGACACCACCUCCUAGGAUCGCUCUGAGAACAGAAUGAGAUAGUUUUAUGUAUAAACUAAAAUUUAUUUCUUUAUAUUUUUUUAAGUUACAGAGGAGUUCCCA